rnacentral:rRNA from 1 species
AGCGAACGCUGGCGGCAGGCUUAACACAUGCAAGUCGAGCGGGCGUAGCAAUACGUCAGCGGCAGACGGGUGAGUAACGCGUGGGAACGUACCUUUUGGUUCGGAACAACACAGGGAAACUUGUGCUAAUACCGGAUAAGCCCUUACGGGGAAAGAUUUAUCGCCGAAAGAUCGGCCCGCGUCUGAUUAGCUAGUUGGUGAGGUAAAGGCUCACCAAGGCGACGAUCAGUAGCUGGUCUGAGAGGAUGAUCAGCCACAUUGGGACUGAGACACGGCACAAGCUCAUACGGGAGGCGGCAGUGGCGAAUAUUGGACAAUGGGGGCAACCCUGAUCCAGCCAUGCCGCGGGAGAGAUGAAGGCCCUAGGGUUGUAAAGCUCUUUUGUGCGGGAAGAUAAUGUCGGUACCGCAAGAAUAAGCCCCGGCUAACUUCGUGCCAGCAGCCGCCGCGGUAA